GUUGUGGCUCAGUGGCAGAGCACUUGCCUAGCAUGUAUAAGGCCCUGGGUUUGAUUCUCAGCACAACA
rnacentral:tRNA from 1 species